rnacentral:rRNA from 1 species
GCUAUACAUGCAGUCGAGCGGACAGAUGGGAGCUUGCUCCCUGAUGUUAGCGGCGGACGGGUGAGUAACACGUGGGUAACCUGCCUGUAAGACUGGGAUAACUCCGGGAAACCGGGGCUAAUACCGGAUGGUUGUUUGAACCGCAUGGUUCAGACAUAAAAGGUGGCUUCGGCUACCACUUACAGAUGGACCCGCGGCGCAUUAGCUAGUUGGUGAGGUAACGGCUCACCAAGGCGACGAUGCGUAGCCGACCUGAGAGGGUGAUCGGCCACACUGGGACUGAGACACGGCCCAGACUCCUACGGGAGGCAGCAGUAGGGAAUCUUCCGCAAUGGACGAAAGUCUGACGGAGCAACGCCGCGUGAGUGAUGAAGGUUUUCGGAUCGUAAAGCUCUGUUGUUAGGGAAGAACAAGUGCCGUUCAAAUAGGGCGGCACCUUGACGGUACCUAACCAGAAAGCCACGGCUAACUACGUGCCAGCAGCCGCGGUAAUACGUAGGUGGCAAGCGUUGUCCGGAAUUAUUGGGCGUAAAGGGCUCGCAGGCGGUUUCUUAAGUCUGAUGUGAAAGCCCCCGGCUCAACCGGGGAGGGUCAUUGGAAACUGGGGAACUUGAGUGCAGAAGAGGAGAGUGGAAUUCCACGUGUAGCGGUGAAAUGCGUAGAGAUGUGGAGGAACACCAGUGGCGAAGGCGACUCUCUGGUCUGUAACUGACGCUGAGGAGCGAAAGCGUGGGGAGCGAACAGGAUUAGAUACCCUGGUAGUCCACGCCGUAAACGAUGAGUGCUAAGUG